CACAGAGUCACAGAGGGUGAUAAGGACGAAGGGACAGGAGGCGGGCACCACGGGUCCAAGAUCCA
rnacentral:ribozyme from 1 species